UACGGGGGGAGCAAGCGUUGUUCGGAUUUACUGGGCGUAAAGGGCGCGUAGGCGGCCACUGCAAGUCGGUUGUGAAAUCUCCGGGCUUAACCCGGAAGGGUCGUUCGAUACUGUUGAGCUAGAGUGUGGAAGAGGCAACUAGAAUUCCGUGUGUAGCGGUGAAAUGCGUAGAUAUACGGAGGAAUACCUGAGGCGAAGGCGGGUUGCUGGGCCAACACUGACGCUGAAGUGCGAAAGCCAGGGGAGCAAACGGG
rnacentral:rRNA from 1 species